rnacentral:rRNA from 1 species
CGUACUGAGACACGGACCAGACUCCUACGGGAGGCAGCAGUGAGGAAUAUUGGACAAUGGGAGCAAUCCUGAUCCAGCCAUGCCGCGUGCAGGAAGACUGCCCUAUGGGUUGUAAACUGCUUUUAUACAGGAAGAAAAAGCCCGACGUGUCGGGUGUUGACGGUACUGUAAGAAUAAGGAUCGGCUAACUCCGUGCCAGCAGCCGUGGUAAUACGGAGGAUCCAAGCGUUAUCCGGAAUCAUUGGGUUUAAAGGGUCCGUAGGCGGGACAAUAAGUCAGUGGUGAAAGUCUGCAGCUCAACUGUAGAAUUGCCAUUGAUACUGUUGUUCUUGAGUGCUUGUGAAGUGGUUAGAAUGAGUAGUGUAGCGGUGAAAUGCAUAGAUAUUACUCAGAAUACCGAUUGCGAAGGCAGAUCACUAACAAUUCACUGACGCUGAUGGACGAAAGCAUAGGUAGCGAACAGGAUUAGAUACCCUGGUAGUCUACGCCGUAAACGAUGGUUACUAGCUGUUCGGACCAAUUGAGGUCUGAGUGGCUAAGCGAAAGUGAUAAGUAACCCACCUGGGGAGUACGUUCGCAAGAAUGAAACUCAAAGGAAUUGACGG